rnacentral:lncRNA from 1 species
CCGCUCCCGCGGGGCCGGCCGCCCGCCUGCCCUGCUCGAUGACUUCCGGCCUCCCCCCAAUCCCGCUCCCCCUCCAUCCCACCGGCCCUCUCCCCGCUGGCUCCUCCCCGCCGCGCAUCAGGCCACUGGAAGGGGUGGGGAGCCGUGGUCCCGGAUGGUUUCAGCCGGAGCUGCGUGUUGGGGACCUUUCUUUUAAAAAUAGCGGAGCGUGUUUUUUAUUAAAAGUACAGCUAGUUGAUGCAGCAACUCCGAGUUGCAAUAACAGAUACAGUGUUCGAUUUAAAAAAUAUGUUUUUCCUGUUUCCUGUGCCUUAUCCUAUAUUUACUAUAUUGGAGAAACAAAAAAAUGAAUAUAACAAGAUCCAUGUCCUCAAGGCGGUUAAACCCCACAUCCUAACGUUCAUAAAGCCGUUCCACCGGGAGUUGUUGCUUGCUAUCUACCCGCAAACCCUAUGCGAAGAGGCGUGGGAUUUGCAGCCAGAAUACAGAACUCUUCUAAAAUCUAGUGUUGGGACAGAGAUGGAGAUACAUCAUGAUAGUCAGAAUAAAACAAAUGGUAGGUAGAGUCAAAAGCAAUUUGAUGGAGACUGUAAGGGGAUGGAGUGACAAAAAGAACUGGUCUUUGAGAAAGAGGAAUCCACAGGACUAGGUGGUGAUUGGUUUUAGAGAGGAGAGAGGUACCAUCCUGGACGAUUUUCACAUGGCCCCUAAGAGGAGGAUGGUGUCAUUAACAAAUACAGGAAACUGAAAAGUUGGAGCAGGUUGUUUGGGCAAAGAGCUAAUUUUGGCCAUACUGAAUUUGCGAUGCUCACUCAGCUAGCAUGUGAAGCUGUGUAACAGCAGGUGGGCAUGUAUGUAUAGAGCUCAGGCUGAGGAGUGCCUUGAAGUGAUGGGCGAAGUCAUGAGUGCAUGUGAUAUUCAAAGCCGUGGAAGAAAUUGAUGUCCUCAAAAGAAAAUCUGAGAGCUGGAAAGGACUUUGGAGGUCGUGUUUUUUGACUCUGCAGACCCCUCAGGCAUUAAACCCUUCUACCAGACGUAUUCAAUAAGCAUUUAUUGGAUGCCUUUUAAACUCUACCGUGCAUUAGGCCUGAUGUAGGCAGUGGGUGUGAAAAGCUCCAUCCGAGGAGCCUACAUGCUGGUGAGGGAGGCAACCAUGUAAUCCAACCCACUGCUAUCAGUGCCAUGUUGAAAGUAUGGAACUGGUGCCGCAGUACCACAGGGGAAGGGGUUCAAGGAACCCAUCAUGGCGCAUACGAAACUCCAGGAGUGCACCAGAGGCAGAGAAUUCACCUGUGAACCAUCAGAGUUGUGACACCCUUCCUGGAACAGCAAAACCUGGGCUAAAGCCUCCUGUCCUCCUUGUUAAUCCAGCAUAAAGAGAUCCUGACCACAUGCACGGUCAUGUGCCACACAACGGCGUUUCAGUCAGUGACAGACCACGUAUACGAUGGUGGUCCCAUGAGAUUAGUACCAUAGAGCCUAGGUGUGCAGUAGGCUGUGCCAUCUAUGUCUGUGCAAGUGCGUUCUGCGAUGUUCAUACAACGACGAAAUCUCUUAACCACUCAUUUCUCAGAACAUGUCCCCAUCAAUAAGUGAUGCAUGACAGUGCCUAAAGCAAGAGGACUUGGUGUGUUUGGGGACUGACAUCUGCUGAGGCAGUGGGAGCAAUACGUGUCCAAGACAGUUUUACCCACAUGACCCAGAUGUCUGGGCCGGGUCAGAACUGGGGAUUCUAAUCAGGACCCAACAUGGACAGGGCUAGAGGAGGCCAUGAUCACGGCAGCCAAAGGCCCCAGAAGCUAAGGUGUCUCCACAAGUCAAGCGCAGGUCCCAGCUCCUUCCUACAGAAAGAUGCGGACUGUGGAGGUUCCCUCGGGGACAAGACCAACAAGGACAUAGACUGAGGAGUGUCUUCAUUGCACACGAGGUCACUGACACGCACCAGGACCUACAGCGGCCGUGGUCCACUGCAUUCAUUGACUGGUAAAUGAAUUACUGCUUUGGAUAGAGGCCCUGGGGGACAGGGAAGGAGCCCCUAGGAUGGUGACAUGAAAUACCCGGGAAUUAAAACGUGCA